GACGAACGCUGGCGGCGUGCUUAACACAUGCCAGUCGAACGGAAAGACCCUGCUUUUGUGGGGUGCUCGAGUGGCGAACGGGUGAGUAACACGUGAGUAACCUGCCCUUGACUUUGGGAUAACUUCAGGAAACUGGGGCUAAUACCGGAUAGGAGCUCCUGCUGCAUGGUGGGGGUUGGAAAGUUUCGGCGGUUGGGGAUGGACUCGCGGCUUAUCAGCUUGUUGGUGGGGUAGUGGCUUACCAAGGCUUUGACGGGUAGCCGGCCUGAGAGGGUGACCGGCCACAUUGGGACUGGGAUACGGCCCAGACUCCUACGGGGGGCAGCAGGGGGGAAUAUUGCACAAUGGGCGGAAGCCUGAUGCAGCAACGCCGCGUGCGGGAUGACGGCCUUCGGGUUGUAAACCGCUUUCGCCUGUGACGAAGCGUGAGUGACGGAAUGGGUAAAGAAGCACCGGCUAACUACGUG
rnacentral:rRNA from 1 species